CAGCUGCACGCGCUUCGAAGGCUAAUGCAGGGGAAUGGUGUCCACCCGAAGGCGCCACUGGGAAACAACUUCCGACCUCCUCAGCCGCUUCACCUCAGACCGGUCCGUACGAACAUCGACUUCAAUGUCAAGCAGGGGGGGAAAUAUUGCCCGAGUAUGUACAGAGAAGUGUAUUACAGAGCUAACAGUUGGAAACAGCACUGAACACUGAAUGCCAGCAGGUUUCUAGAUAAUUAAAAAGUUUGUUUGCAAAAAUAAAACUGCUUACUGUACCGUAUAUUACGUCAGUACGGAAGUCAUAUAAUUAAAAGAGUCUACCUUCUCCAUUAAACAUAUCAAGUGAACAUAAACAUCAAAGUGCCAGUGCUAUAGUGUUUAGAACUGAGAAGUUAUUAAAUGACAACGUGAUGUAGCAUUUAUUGUCAUUGCAUGACUGCUACAAGUGUCAUCGAAAGGUAAUGACAGUCAUGAAUGUUAGGUGACUGGGGGAAUACAUAAGAAGGUAAUUAAGAUUCAGCGUCACCAGACGUGGUUCGUGAAUGUGACGCUAACGUUCGUGUGAAUCAGAAUUUUUCGCAAUACCUAACUCAGCGUACACAGCGUUUAAGAUUGGAUUAGUCGUUCUACAAUCUGUGAUUUCUUAUCAUUGCGUACGACGGAUUUCGCUGACGUAAUUUUGUAUUCGUUACUCUAUAGAUAUAAUUUAUACGUGGCAUACUUUAAAUUUGUUUUGUAUUAGUUAAUAAAUUAUUGACGAAAUUCUUCAAUUUUGGACAUACUUCUUAAAUAAUAUUAAGGAAUUUUUACCCCCAGCCAAAAAAUGACUUUCUACUCUUCGUAAGAUUUCCGGUUCUCACGGCGAAUAUAAAGAUGGCUGUUUUCUGCCUCGUUCCGCCGUCGGUACACUUUUAACUGAAUACGCGACUCUACAACCCAGAAGCCAUACUGUUACUUCCGUCAUCGUCAUUUGUCCUUUUAAUGAUUUGUGUAGGUCUAAUAAGGAAAGUCGUUUUAUACAAGAGCAUUACAUUCACGAACUGCCGCUGUUGAACAACGCGUUUGAUAGUCCUCUUUGUAAAUUUGGAACGUUCGAAAUGAGUACCAUUCAGAAGCCAGCAUGUGGACAGAAGAGGACGAUGUUUACAUAUAUCGAUGGAAACUUUGAGAAACACAAGAUCCCUAAUAAAGUGUAUGGGACACGGCUUUCGUUCCACAAACAGCCGGGCAGUGGAAGCAGCAAGAGACAUGACCAGCCGAUGACGUAUUUAAGAGGGAAUUUGCGAGUUUAUGUUGCUGUGGUAAGCCUUCAGGAGGUACUUGUUGAGAAUAAUGUAUAGAAAUUGGUGGAAAUGGUAGACACAUAUUACUUAUUUCUUACCCGAAAAUCACAAAAGAUUUUUGUUUUUCUGUUCUAAGAUACAAAUGUUUUCCUCAAAUAUCUUACCAACAGAAAUGUAGACCUACUUAGCUACAAAUCUAGUCAUUUCCUAUCCAGCAUCAUUUCCAAAUUGUUUUUAUUUAAUAUAUUUACAAAAAUAUUCCUUACAUUUCUUAUGACCGUAAUUUCUUUACUCUCAAAAUUUACUUUCAAAAUUUGGCUUUACAUAUAAAGCGAUCAUAUAUCAGAAAUGAAUUGAACCGGGUUUUCUUUUACGUUCUUCCAGAACUUUCUAUACAAAAUUUUCACGCAAAUAUUUAUACUGUGAAGGGUCUUCCUAUGUAAAUUACUAGGAAAGAGAUGAUAAAACAAAUAAAUGAGAUGAUAAGCUUACGAUCUUCGUGACAAAACAUGAAAAGCAAACAUAACCUGCACAGUUACAAAUUCGAAAUAUUUUCUUUGUGAAAAGAAAUUUUCUUUCUUUCAACGUGUUUAUUUUUUAUUCCAUUAAGGUGUCUGCUGAUGUGAAGAUGAGCUAACAAAUUAUCCUUCAAAGUACUGACCCCAACUUCGACGUAUUAAAUACAGAGUAUAAACAGUUACGUGUUUUCUGAAGUAAUUUACGCAUAGAGUUUAUAGGAAAACCAACAAAUAGAACCUACAGUUAAAACAGGAUAUCAUAUCAAUUGCAAGCCUAAACUGAGAAACUUAUGGACUGGGUUCAUUAGUAUUAGAGGCUUGAAAAGUUGGUAAAUUUACACAUACUCAUGAUACAGUGUUAAAACGCUCAACUGAACUAUAUAUAUGUGGAUAUUUGUUGAAUCACAAAAAUAUCAUUACAUGUGAAUCAAAAUUUUCAUGUUUAUUCGAGAAAAAUCUGAAAAUCAUAUUUUAUUGCAGAAUAUCAUGAAAACAUUAGUGUUGAUAUCGUGCUGUUGCCUCAGAACAACACCCAAGACGUGUAUUGGUACGUACUUUCGCGCACUGACGUUUUCAGUUAAGGUACAGUUAUGUGCUGAAAAUACUUUAUUUCAUAUAGCAUAGUAUUUUACUGUUAUUUUCUGCGUGAUUCAACCAUUUCUGUACAAAAUAUAUUUAUUUUUUCAGUUUUACUCUCCAAAUUAGGGCACGCCUUAUAUUCAGGAGCGCAUUAAAUUCGGACAAAUCGUGUUUCGGUCAUAAAACCUUAGUAAAUAAUUUUCACUGACCUUUACUAAUCUUUGGAAUUGUUAUGUGCAAUCAGGUUAUCAACAGAUAUCAUUUUCGACAAUCAGCGAUUUCCGAACAGUUGACGGCAAUCUGAAUUUCUUUAUCCUUCUUAAUCAAACAAUUUGUCGUACAAAAUAAAUAUUUGAGGCUUACAUUGAAACACUAACGCCAUAUCGUACUGUUAUAUCGUGCUUCCAGUCUGCAUAUUUGUAGUCACAUAUUCCUCAGGUGCCUUUAGUCUAGAUCGUUAACGAAGUAAUUAAAAGUCGUAAAGGUUUCACGCAAUGAUUCACAGUUAUUUCUUUUGUCAAAUUACUAAAGGCCCAUAAUCAACAGACAUCCAACUCUAAAAUCUACACUUGAGAACAUGGCCUACUUCUAUCAACUAGAAUGUACUCUGAAGGGAGUAUCACUUAUUUUCCUAUUGUUUUCUCUCCGUGAGUUGAUAAACAAUCCUCUUCACUCUGUUAUGAAUCGUAUAUAACAAGGUUUAUAGUAACACUCGGUUACCAACCACAAUAGGCCUACAUAAAUACAUAAAAUGAGUUCUAAAUUUUGCAUAUCAAAACUAUACCCUUAAAUAACAUUGCAUUCGUCUUACAUAUCACAUAGGAAGGACGAAAUAAAUGCAUAUAAUUUAUUUAAUACUGACAAAUUGUUUCGUAAGAUUUUAUCAAACUUCCGUUAUUCGGAUGUAUAAGACUGAUAAUAUUUGUAAGGUUUUAGUCGUUAAUUCGGAAACCGCUGACAAAAAGGAUUACUUUGUCAGAGUUCAUGUUGCAGCUUAUUAUAUCAUAUUGUCGACAUAUUACGAUUACCUACAAAAUAGUAAAACUUCUUAAAAUUAGAGCGACGUCCCUUGGAGCCAUUUUGUUCUCCCAUUGACCGAUCGACGGCCGACAAAUUAAGCAAAAUGUCUGUAUGAGGCAUUUACCAUUACAAUGAUUAACUGGUUGUGUAAUAAAAUAAUUGUUGUUUGCUCUGAGAACAUAAUAGGUAAAUUCAGAGUUAUUAAUUAUUAAAGAAGGUGGUGUAUAUAGUUACCACUGGGCUUUAAAGAAUUAAGUUACAGAAUAGGGAUAACGAGCUUCAAAUUAUUUGAUAGUUAAACCAAUCAUGCGUUUAACUUUGCUCCUCUGAAUGGAGGACAAAAAUAAUGUUAAUGUUUUCUUAAUGUGUAGCCAUAUUUUUGCUGAAGUACAGAAACAUAAAUCAGAUUUAUUUUAAGUCUACUGUUUAAUAAAAAUCGGUCAAUGGAAAUAAUAAUUAAUCUAUAAAACCACAGCUGAGUAAGCUUAAGUUGUCAAGAGAUUUUGAAGUGAAAUUAUAAUCAAACUGAUAUCAAUCAAACAGACGAAAUAAGAGGAUAUUCUGAUUCUUAGCGUUGAAGGGGUUACAAUUUAUGUAACCGAAGAGAGCUGUAAUGCAGACUCUGACUGAAUUCGCUUUUAGAAAUUUAUUUACGAUCUCGGUCAGUAUUUUUGUAUAAUUCUCUGAAGGAUCACGAUUUCUGCUGCUUGUUGCAGUAAACGAAUAAAAAUAAAAAUAAAAGGUAACAGAUGGCUAUGAUAAAUUAAGAUAUAUACGUUUUAACAAAGAAGAAACAUAUCAUAUUUUACAAUCUGAAAAAAAAUUACCCAAAUGUUGCUGUAGACUGCUUUGCAUAUACUAACUCCUAAAUGUGUAUGAAAACAUGUUGUUAAAAGGAUCCUAUUAUAAUACGAAGUGACAAUGUUAUAAUGUCUCUGUAGUAUUUAAGUGGAACUUGUGAGCAGCGGUAGUGAGACUGCUUCUUGUGAAGAAACUACGCAUAGUUAUGUACUUCGUGUCUCAUUCAAUGAAAACUAAUGAAGCCUCCCUCUUGCUUUUUGGUAAGUUUUGUUA